AGAGUUUGAUCCUGGCUCAGGAUGAACGCUGGCGGCGUGCUUAACACAUGCAAGUCGAACGAAGUAGGAGGGUGCUUGCACCUUCCUACUGAGUGGCGGACGGGUGAGUAACACGUGGAUAAUCUGCCCUGCACAGGGGGACAACAGCUAGAAAUGGCUGCUAAUACCGCAUAAGCCUACAGCCUCGCAUGAGGGAGUAGGAAAAGAAAUUCGGUGCAGGAUGAGUCCGCGUCUGAUUAGCUAGUUGGAGGGGUAAAAGCCCACCAAGGCAACGAUCAGUAGCCGGCCUGAGAGGGCGACCGGCCACAUUGGGACUGAGACACGGCCCAAACUCCUACGGGAGGCAGCAGUGGGGAAUAUUGCACAAUGGGGGGAACCCUGAUGCAGCGACGCCGCGUGAGCGAGGAAGUAUUUCGGUAUGUAAAGCUCUAUCAGCAGGGACGAAGAAAGACGGUACCUGACUAAGAAGCCCCGGCUAACUACGUGCCAGCAGCCGCGGUAAUACGUAGGGGGCAAGCGUUAUCCGGAAUCACUGGGUGUAAAGGGAGCGUAGACGGCUGAGCAAGCCUGAAGUGAAAGGCGGGGGCCCAACCCCUGGACUGCUUUGGGAACUGUACGGCUGGAGUGCAGGAGAGGUAAGUGGAAUUCCUAGUGUAGCGGUGAAAUGCGUAGAUAUUAGGAGGAACACCAGUGGCGAAGGCGGCUUACUGGACUGUAACUGACGUUGAGGCUCGAAAGCGUUGGGAGCAAACAGGAUUAGAUACCCUGGUAGUCCACGCUGUAAACGAUGAAUACUAGGUGUUGGGGGCUGAAGCCUUCGGUGCCGCAGCAAACGCAAUAAGUAUUCCACCUGGGGAGUACGUUCGCAAGAAUGAAACUCAAAGGAAUUGACGGGGACCCGCACAAGCGGUGGAGCAUGUGGUUUAAUUCGAAGCAACGCGAAGAACCUUACCAAGCCUUGACAUCCCCCUGACAGGGUAUGUAAUGUACCUUACCUUCGGGACAGGGGAGACAGGUGGUGCAUGGUUGUCGUCAGCUCGUGUCGUGAGAUGUUGGGUUAAGUCCCGCAACGAGCGCAACCCUUACCCACAGUAGCCAGCACAAAGGGUGGGCACUCUGUGGGGACUGCCGGGGACAACCCGGAGGAAGGUGGGGAUGACGUCAAAUCAUCAUGCCCCUUAUGGCCGGGGCUACACACGUGCUACAAUGGCGUAAACAAAGGGAAGCGAGAGAGUGAUCUUAAGCGAAACUCAAAAAUAACGUCCCAGUUCGGAUUGCAGUCUGCAACUCGACUGCAUGAAGCUGGAAUCGCUAGUAAUCGCGGAUCAGAAUGCCGCGGUGAAUACGUUCCCGGGUCUUGCACUCACCGCCCGUCA
rnacentral:rRNA from 1 species